GAUGAACGCUGGCGGCGUGCUUAACACAUGCAAGUCGAACGGACAGGCGCUGCUCUUGCGGGGUUCACGAUUGGCGAACGGGUGAGUAACACGUGAGUAUACUGCCCUUGACUUUCGGAUAACUCCAGGAAACUGGGGCUCAUACCGGAGAGGAGCUCCUGCUGCAUGGUGGGGGUUGGAAAGAUUCGGCGGUUGUGGAUGUACUCGAGGCUUAUCAGCUGGAUGGUGUGGUAGUGGCUUACCAAGGCUUUGACGGGUAGCCGGCCUGAGAGCGUUGCCGGCGACAAUGGGACUGCGGUAGGGAGCAGUAGGCUAUGGGAGGCAGCAGUGGAGAAUAUGACGCAGUGGGCGGGAGUCAGAGGUAAAAGCGUCGCGUGCGUGAUAACGUGUUUCGAGGUAUAAACAGCUGUCGCAGGAAACGUGGCGUGAUUGACGGUAAUGAGUAAAAAAGCAACGGCUAACUACGUG
rnacentral:rRNA from 1 species